rnacentral:lncRNA from 1 species
CUCUGUUCUUCUGUCCUAUUUUCUUUCUCCUAAUAAAAAGAUAAGGCAACUCCUCCACGUGCUCUCCCCUCUCCUCUCUUCUCUUCCCAUCCACAGAUCCGUGUUCAUCUUNNNNNNNNNNNNNNNNNNNNAGAUAAGGCAACUCCUCCACGUGCUCUCCCCUCUCCUCUCUUCUCUUCCCAUCCACAGAUCCGUGUUCAUCUUUGAAUCCUCUCUUCGAACAGUCAUCUCUUCUUCGUUCAAAUUAUAUAACUCUCUCCCUCCUAAUAAACAGGUAAGGCAACAAUUCUUCUCUCAGAAAUAUCCGGAUGUUUUUUCAAAGAUUUACUCCCCUCUCCUCUCUUUUCUUCUGUCCGAUUUUUUUUCUCCUAAUAAAGAGAUAAGGUACCUCCUCCACAUGCUCUCCCCUCUACUCUCUUCUUUUCCCAUCCACAGAUUUGACACUUAUCGAACAUCACGAUGGGAGAACGCACACCGACUACCUGCACAAUGAACCAAUUGCACACGUCAACGAGGACGCCAUGCAGCAUGUCAGGAGAAGUGGAGCAGCACGCACAGUCAAUACCAACUGCACCGUCAGCACACACGUCAGCAAUCUGAGUUGGCAACACCACAAUGCUUGGAGGCACUAGCAACACCCCAAGGCUCCUCCGGUAAGUAUCACUUUAUAUAUAUAUAUAUGAUUAGCUAGUAUAUUCACAAAUCCAUCUCAAACAAAGAUUUACAUUGGAUAAUUGUAUAUGAAUAAGCAAAACCAAUCAAUGAUAUUAGUGCCAUUUUCACAUUUUCCAAUGAUAUUUAUUCAAACUCUCUCAUUAACUGAAGUCUAGAUUAUAUCCAAGAAG